UACAGAGGGGGCAAGCGUUGUUCUGAAUUACUGGGCGUAAAGGGCGCGUAGGCGGCCUGCUAAGUCGAACGUGAAAUCCCUGGGCUCAACCCAGGAACUGCGUCCGAUACUGGUUGGCUUGAAUCCGGGAGAGGGAUGUGGAAUUCCAGGUGUAGCGGUGAAAUGCGUAGAUAUCUGGAGGAACACCGGUGGCGAAGGCGACAUCCUGGACCGGUAUUGACGCUGAGGCGCGAAAGCCAGGGGAGCAAACGGG
rnacentral:rRNA from 1 species